CCAGACUCCUACGGGAGGCAGCAGUGGGGAAUAUUGCACAAUGGGGGGAACCCUGAUGCAGCGACGCCGCGUGGGUGAAGGAGCACCUCGGUGCGUAAAGCCCUAUCGGCAGGGAAGAAAAGCGAACAGGUUCGCCUGGACGGUACCUGACUAAGAAGCCCCGGCUAACUACGUGCCAGCAGCCGCGGUAAUACGUAGGGGGCAAGCGUUAUCCGGAUUUACUGGGUGUAAAGGGAGCGUAGACGGCGAUGCAAGCCAGAUGUGAAAGCCCGGGGCUCAACCCCGGGACUGCAUUUGAAACUGUUGGUCUUGAGUAUCGGAGAGGCAGGCGGAAUUCCUAGUGUAGCGGUGAAAUGCGUAGAUAUUAUGAGGAACACCAGUGGCGAAGGCGGCUUACUGGACUGUAAAUGACGCUGAGGCUCGAAAGCGUGGGGAGCAAACAGGAUUAGAUACCCUGGUA
rnacentral:rRNA from 1 species